rnacentral:rRNA from 1 species
GAGGCCAUCAUACUGGGCUUCCAGCACUACAUCCUGGCGCUGGGCACGGCCGUCAUGAUCCCGGCGGUGCUGGUGCCCAUGAUGGGCGGGAGCGACGGAGACAGGGUGAGGGUGGUGCAGACGCUGCUCUUCGUCACCGGCAUCAACAUGCUGCUGCAGUCGCUCUUCGGGACGCAGCUGCCCACGGUCAUAGGAGGCUCCUAUGCCUUCCUCAUCCCGGUGAUGGCCAUCGUGCAGGACUCGUCGCUCGCGGCCAUACCUGACGACCACGAGAGGUUCCUCAAGAGCAUGCGGGCCAUACAAGGGGCGGUUAUAGUGUCCUCCAGUAUUCAGAUCAUCCUUGGUUACAGCCAGCUCUGGGGUAUUUUCUCCAGAUUCUUCAGUCCACUGGGAAUGGCGCCGGUGGUUGCGCUGCUCGGUUUUGGCUUCUUCGAAAGAGGAUUCUAGUGGGUUGGGAGAUGCGUUGAGGUUGGCCUGCCAAUGUUAAUCCUCUUUGUUGUGCUUUACCAGUAUCUGAAGAAUGUACAGAUAAGAGAGAUCCCCAUACUGGAACGAUUCUCCCUGUUCAUUUGUAUCGCAUUGGUCUGGGCUUAUGCUCAAAUCCUCACUUCUGGUGGCGCGUAUAAUCAUUUUGUACUACGAUUAGUUGUCGAUGCUGUGUAA